GUAUGUUGUGCAAGUGUGUGUAGGUGCAUGUGAGUGCAUGUGUGCAUAUGUGUGUACAUUCAUAUGUGUGAGUGUAUGUGUGUGUGUAGGUGUGCAUGUGAGAAUAUGUGUGUGUGCAUAUGAGUGCACUGUGCGCAUGUAUGCGGGCACAUGUAUGUGUAGGUGUGUGUAAGAGUGCAUGUGUGUGUAAGUGCAUGUAUACGAGUGCAUGUGUAUGUGUAAGUGCAUUGUGUGCAUACGUGUGUGUGAGUGCCCACCUUCAGCUGCACUAGGGAGGAAGCCUGCAGCAGUCUCGGUGGCCCCUCAGUGCAGCUGAGCCACUCCAUCAGGUCCCCAGCUACCUACCUGGUGGUUUACCUGCCACAUUCGCCUAAAUGAAAUAGAAAUACCCUCACAAGGAUGCUUAGACUUGUCUCACAAGAAAUGCCAAGGUUUGGGUUUAUUUGCAUAUUUAUAAUAAAACUUGCAGUUUUCAAAAGCACCUACUGGUGGCUCCACUCCUGGAGGUGCAAACCCCCCAUCUCACCCGUGAGACCAAGGAGUCGCUAUCUGAACACUCAGAAAGGAGAGCAGCAGGUGGAUGGGGGCAGCAGAGGAACAGCAUUCAAAGUCCCAGCACCCUUCAUCCCAUGACCUGUGCACCCAAAACCCAGAGGCGGGCAUUUGUGCAGACAGAGCAGGCUCCCAAUGAAUCCUGCAGCCUCCCUCAAGGUAUAGAAAAGGGAAGCACAAGUGCUCAGAGAGGACAGAAGACACCCCUGUUUCUUCUCCUUUCUCUCACACCCCAGACCAUGCAGGUGUGAACAACUAAACUGAUAAAGGAAACACUCUGUCUAGUCACAGUGGCUUACUCCUGUAAUUCCAGCACUUUGGGAGGCCAAGGUGGGUGGAUCAUUUGAGGUCAGGAGUUCAAGACCAGCCUGGCCACAUGGUGAAACCCUACCUCUACUAAAAAUACAAAAAUUAGCCAGAUGUGGCCAGGCACAGUGGCUCACGCCUGUAAUACUAGCACUUUAGGAGGCUGAGGCGGAUGGAUCACCUGAGGUGAGGGGUUCAAGAUCAGCCUGGCUAACAUGGCAAAACCCGGCCUCUACUAAAAACACAAAAAUUAGCCAGGCGUGGUGGUGCAUGCCUGUAAUCCCAGCUACUUGGGACGCUGAGACAGGAGAAUCACUUGAAUCUGGGAGGCGGAGGUUGCAGGGAGCCAAGAUCGCGCCACUGCACUCCAGGCUGGGCAACAGAGUAAGACCCUGUCUCAAAAAAAAAAAAAAAAUCCAGGUGUGGUGGCAGGUGCCUGUAGUCCCAGCUACUUGGGAGGCUGAGGCAGGAGAAUCACUUGAACCUGGGAGGUGGAGGUUGCAGUGAGCCAAGAUGGUGCCACUGAGUGACAGAGUGAGAUUCCAUCUCAAAAAAAAAAAAAAGAAAACACUCCUCUUCAAUGGAAGGGGUUCUGAUCUCAAGAAAGCAGGGUAAGCACUGCUGAUUUUUUUUUUUCUCUGUCCUCCUGGCGCUCAGCUCUGGCACAUACAGUUGCAACCAUAAGAACAGUAUCAGGGCAGCAAACACAAAGCUCCAGUUUUUUGCCUGUAAAACUGAAAAUGAAGCCCCAAGAAAGCAGAAAGUCCUGGAGAGGGUCCUGGAAAGGGAGACUCUCGAGAAACAUAACAUAAAGUUGUUCAGGAACUCCAGGGCUCCCCCUAGAGGCACACGUCACUGAACUCGGGACAAACCAUUGCCCACACAUGACCACAGAAGGUGCACAGACAGGACAGAGCAAACCGCUCAGGCUUUGAAGACAUCAACCCACAGAAGUCAACCAGGCUGAUUUCCAGCUUAAAAAAAAAUCAACAUUACCCUAUGAUGUAAAGAAGACCUGAAGUCAAGUAACAUAGUCUUCAAAAUACUCAGCACACCAUCUGAAAUUACUGGGCAUAGGAAGAAUCAAGUAGCAUGCACAUGAAAAGAUUACUAACAGAUACCACUGUCAAGAUGACACCAAUACUGGAAUUAUCUGACAAUUUUCAAGCAGCUAAUACAAAAAUGCUUCAACAAGUAAAAGCAAAUACCCUUGAAAGGAAUGGGAACAUUAAAAAGUCUCAGCAAAGAAACAGAAGAUAGAAAGAAGAACUGAGUGGAAAGUUUAUAAGAAGAAAAGACAGUAACUGAAAUAAUUCAAUGUAUAGGCUCAAUAAUUGAAUAUGAAUAACAGAAGUAAGUUAGUGAAAUUGAAGACAGGUCAACAGAAAUUAUCCAAUACAAACAACAGAGAGAAAGGGAUUUAAAACAAA
rnacentral:lncRNA from 1 species